rnacentral:rRNA from 1 species
AUGCAGUCGAGCGAACGGAUAAGGAGCUUGCUCCUUUGAAGUUAGCGGCGGACGGGUGAGUAACACGUGGGUAACCUACCUAUAAGACUGGAAUAACUUCGGGAAACCGGAGCUAAUGCCGGAUAACAUUUGGAACCGCAUGGUUCUAAAGUAAAAGAUGGUUUUGCUAUCACUUAUAGAUGGACCCGCGCCGUAUUAGCUAGUUGGUAAGGUAACGGCUUACCAAGGCAACGAUACGUAGCCGACCUGAGAGGGUGAUCGGCCACACUGGAACUGAGACACGGUCCAGACUCCUACGGGAGGCAGCAGUAGGGAAUCUUCCGCAAUGGACGAAAGUCUGACGGAGCAACGCCGCGUGAGUGAUGAAGGUUUUCGGAUCGUAAAACUCUGUUAUUAGGGAAGAACAAAUGCGUAAGUAACUGUGCGCAUCUUGACGGUACCUAAUCAGAAAGCCACGGCUAACUACGUGCCAGCAGCCGCGGUAAUACGUAGGUGGCAAGCGUUAUCCGGAAUUAUUGGGCGUAAAGCGCGCGUAGGCGGUUUCUUAAGUCUGAUGUGAAAGCCCACGGCUCAACCGUGGAGGGUCAUUGGAAACUGGGAAACUUGAGUACAGAAGAGGAAAGUGGAAUUCCAUGUGUAGCGGUGAAAUGCGCAGAGAUAUGGAGGAACACCAGUGGCGAAGGCGACUUUCUGGUCUGUAACUGACGCUGAUGUGC